rnacentral:rRNA from 1 species
UACGUAGGGGGCAAGCGUUGUCCGGAAUCAUUGGGCGUAAAGCGCACGUAGGCGGCCCGGUAAGUCCGCUCUGAAAGUCAGAGGCUCAACCUCUGGAGGCGAGUGGAUACUGCCGGGCUAGAGUCCGGAAGAGGCGAGUAGAAUUCCUGGUGUAGCGGUGGAAUGCGCAGAUAUCAGGAGGAACACCUAUGGCGAAGGCAGCUCGCUGGGACGGUACUGACGCUGAGGUGCGAAAGCGUGGGGAGCGAACAGG